rnacentral:rRNA from 1 species
GAUGAACGCUGGCGGCGUGCCUAAUACAUGCCAGUCGAGCGAACGGACGAGAAGCUUGCUUCUCUGAUGUUAGCGGCGGACGGGUGAGUAACACGUGGAUAACCUACCUAUAAGACUGGGAUAACUUCGGGAAACCGGAGCUAAUACCGGAUAAUAUUUUGAACCGCAUGGUUCAAAAGUAUAAGACGGUCUUGCUGUCACUUAUAGAUGGAUCCGCGCUGCAUUAGCUAGUUGGUAAGGUAACGGCUUACCAAGGCAACGAUGCAUAGCCGACCUGAGAGGGUGAUCGGCCACACUGGAACUGAGACACGGUCCAGACUCCUACGGGAGGCAGCAGUAGGGAAUCUUCCGCAAUGGGCGAAAGCCUGACGGAGCAACGCCGCGUGAGUGAUGAAGGUCUUCGGAUCGUAAAACUCUGUUAUUAGGGAAGAACAUAUGUGUAAGUAACUGUGCACAUCUUGACGGUACCUAAUCAGAAAGCCACGGCUAACUACGUG